AGGGAAAGGCUUGAAAUGUGGAGGGCUGAAAAGAGGAGAGGCAACCCAGAAAGGCCUGCGAUAAAAUCUAAAGCAGCGAUGAAAAAACUGAACAGAAAGCCAGCUGAGAUGAAAGAAAACAUACAGCAUUACCACAAACUGGGGAACAAUGAUUUAUAUCACACACCAGCUGGUG